rnacentral:rRNA from 1 species
AUGGAUAGGGGUUCUGAGAGGAAGGUCCCCCACAUUGGUACUGAGACACGGACCAAACUCCUACGGGAGGCAGCAGUGAGGAAUAUUGGUCAAUGGGCGUAAGCCUGAACCAGCCAAGUCGCGUGAGGGAUGAAGGUUCUAUGGAUCGUAAACCUCUUUUAUAAGGGAAUAAAGUGCGGGACGUGUCCCGUUUUGUAUGUACCUUAUGAAUAAGGAUCGGCUAACUCCGUGCCAGCAGCCGCGGUAAUACGGAGGAUCCGAGCGUUAUCCGGAUUUAUUGGGUUUAAAGGGUGCGUAGGCGGCCUUUUAAGUCAGCGGUGAAAGUCUGUGGCUCAACCAUAGAAUUGCCGUUGAAACUGGGGGGCUUGAGUAUGUUUGAGGCAGGCGGAAUGCGUGGUGUAGCGGUGAAAUGCUUAGAUAUCACGCAGAACCCCGAUCGCGAAGGCAGCCUGCCAAGCCAUGACUGACGCUGAUGCACGAAAGCGUGGGGAUCAAACAGGAUUAGAUACCCUGGUAGUCCACGCAGUAAACGAUGAUCACUAGCUGUUUGCGAUACACUGUAAGCGGCACAGCGAAAGCGUUAAGUGAUCCACCUCAACGGUGAAACUCAAAGGAAUUGACGGGGGCCCGCACAAGCGGAGGAACAUGUGGUUUAAUUCGAUGAUACGCGAGGAACCUUACCCGGGUUUGAACGCAUUCGGACCGAGGUGGAAACACCUUUUCUAGCAAUAGCCGUUUGCGAGGUGCUGCAUGGUUGUCGUCAGCUCGUGCCGUGAGGUGUCGGCUUAAGUGCCAUAACGAGCGCAACCCUUGCCACUAGUUACUAACAGGUGAUGCUGAGGACUCUGGUGGGACUGCCAGCGUAAGCUGCGAGGAAGGCGGGGAUGACGUCAAAUCAGCACGGCCCUUACAUCCGGGGCGACACACGUGUUACAAUGGCGUGGACAAAGGGAAGCCACCUGGCGACAGGGAGCGAAUCCCCAAACCACGUCUCAGUUCGGAUCGGAGUCUGCAACCCGACUCCGUGAAGCUGGAUUCGCUAGUAAUCGCGCAUCAGCCAUGGCGCGGUGAAUACGUUCCCGGGCCUUGUACACACCGCCCGUCAAGCCAUGGGAG